UGGGUAGAAUUCCAGUGGCCCUGACUGAAGACCAGCAGUUGUACUGUGGCUGUUGGUUUCAAGCAGAGGCCUAAAGGACUGUCUUCCUGUGGUCUGUUGGCUGUUCU
ensembl:miRNA